AGGGGAGUAGCUCAAUUGGUAGAGUAGCGGACUCCAAAUCCGUUGGUUGCGGGUUCGAUUCCUGUCUCCCCUGCCA
rnacentral:tRNA from 2 species